rnacentral:rRNA from 1 species
CCUACGGGGGGCAGCAGUGAGGAAUAUUGGUCAAUGGGCGGAAGCCUGAACCAGCCAAGUAGCGUGCAGGAUGACGGCCCUACGGGUUGUAAACUGCUUUUAUACGGGAAUAACGCGCCUUACGUGUAGGGCUUUGCAUGUAACGUAUGAAUAAGGACCGGCUAAUUCCGUGCCAGCAGCCGCGGUAAUACGGAGGGUUCGGGCGUUAUCCGGAUUGAUUGGGGUUAAAGGGAGCGUAGGCGGCAUGUCAAGCGUGCUGUGAAAUGUCCGGGCUCAACCCGGGCCUUGCAGCGGAAACUGGCGUGCUUGAGUGCGCGGAAGGCAGGCGGAAUUCGUCGUGUAGCGGUGAAAUGCUUAGAUAUGACGAAGAACCCCGGUUGCGAAGGCAGCUUGCUGCAGCGGAACUGACGCUGAUGCUCGAAAGCGCGGGUAUCGAACUGGAUUAGAUACCCUAGUAGUC